UCAAUUUUGCCCAUUUCCGUUUCUUUGGAUGAUAUGAUGGGUCAAUCAUUUGCUUCAUUAGUUCCAACAGUGCCAGCUGCGGCAUUUGCUAUUGGAUUAGCCAUUUUCGUUAUUACUUUUCGAGUCCGAGAGACUAUUGCUGUCGAAUCUAUAAAUUGCAUUCAAGGUUAA
rnacentral:rRNA from 1 species